CAAAAGCGUAUAUUAAAGUUGUUGCAGUUAAAAAGCUCGUAGUUGAACCUUGGGCUUGGCUGGCCGGUCCAUCUUUUUUGAUGCGUACUGGACCCAGCCGAGCCUUUCCUUCUGGCUGGCCUUUUGGCGAACCAGGACUUUUACUUUGAAAAAAUUAGAGUGUUCAAAGCAGGCCUUUGCUCGAAUAUAUUAGCAUGGAAUAAUAGAAUAGGACGUUAUGGUUCUAUUUUGUUGGUUUCUAGGACCAUCGUAAUGAUUAAUAGGGACGGUCGGGGGUAUCAGUAUUCAGUUGUCAGAGGUGAAAUUCUUGGAUUUACUGAAGACUAACUACUGCGAAAGCAUUUACCAAGGACGUUUUCAUUAA
rnacentral:rRNA from 1 species